rnacentral:sRNA from 1 species
GCUGGGCAUGGUGGCGCAUGCCUGUAAUCCCAGUUACUCGGGAGGCUGAGGCAGGAGAAUCGCUUGAACCUGGGAGGCGGAGGUUGCAGUGAGCCGAGAUCACACCACUGCACUCCAGCCUGGGUGACAGAGCAAGACUCUGUCUCAA